AUGAACGCUGGCGGCGUGCUUAACACAUGCAAGUCGAACGGAACUUUCUCCCGAUGGAGUGGAGUGCUGCACAAAAUGGAAUCAUUGAAAAGUUAGUGGCGGACGGGUGAGUAACGCGUGGGUAACCUGCCGUAUGCUGGGGGACAACAGUUGGAAACGACUGCUAAUACCGCAUAAGCGCACAGUAUCGCAUGAUACAGUGUGAAAAACUCCGGUGGCAUACGAUGGACCCGCGUCUGAUUAGCUAGUUGGUGAGGCAGCGGCCCACCAAGGCGACGAUCAGUAGCCGGCCUGAGAGGGUGAACGGCCACAUUGGGACUGAGACACGGCCCAAACUCCUACGGGAGGCAGCAGUGGGGAAUAUUGCACAAUGGGGGAAACCCUGAUGCCAGCGACGCCGCGUGAGUGAAGAAGUAUUUCGGUAUGUAAAGCUCUAUCAGCAGGGAAGAAAAUGACGGUACCUGACUAAGAAGCCCCGGCUAACUACGUGCCAGCCGCUGC
rnacentral:rRNA from 1 species